AUGCUCAAAAUUCUCCAAGCCAGGCUUCAGCAAUACGUGAACCGUGAACUUCCAGAUAUUCAAGCUGAUUUUAGAAAAGGCAGAGGAAAUAGAGAUCAAAUUGCCAAUAUCUGCUGGAUCAUGGAAAAAGCAAGAGAGUUCCAGAAAAACAUCUCUUUCUGCUUUAUUGACUAUGCCAAAGCCUCUGACUGUGUGGAUCACAAUAAACAGUGGGAAAUUCUGAAAGAGAUGGGAGUACCAGACCACCUGACCUGCUUCUUGGGAAACCUAUAUGCAGGUCAGGAAGCAACAGUUAGAACUGGACAUGGAGCAACAGACUGGUUCCAAAUAGGAAAAGGAGUACGUCAAGGCUGUAUACUGUCACCCUGCUUAUUUAACUUAUAUGCAGAGUACAUCAUGAGAAACACUGGACUGGAAGAAGCACAAGCUGGAAUCAAGAUUGCUGGGAGAAAUAUCAAUAACCUCAGAUAUACAGAUGACACCAUCCUUAUGGCAGAAAGUGAAGAGGAGCUAAAUAGCCUCUUGAUGAAAGUGAAAGAGGAGAGUGAAAAAGUUGGCUUAAAGCUCAACAUUCAGAAAACUAAGAUCAUGGCAUCCAGUCCCAUCACUUCAUUGCAAAUAGAUGUGGAAACAGUGUCAGAUUUUAUUUUGGGGGGCUCCAAAAUCACUGCAGAUGGUGACUGCAGCCGUGAAAUUAAAAGACACUUACUGCUUGGAAGAAAAGUUAUGACCAACCUAGAUAGCAUAUUGAAAAGCAGAGACAUUAGUUUGCCAACAAAGGUCCAUCUAGUGAAGGCUAUAGUUUUUCCAGUGGUCAUGUAUGGAUGUGAGAGUUGGCCUGUGAAGAAAGCUGAGCUCCAGAGAAUUGAUGCUUUUGAAUUGUGGUGUUGGAGAAGACUCUUGAGAGCCCCUUGGACUGCAAGGAGAUCCAACCAGUCUAUUAAAGGAGGUCAGCCCUGGGUGUCUUUGGAAGGACUGAUGCUAAACCUGAAACUCCAGUACUUUGGCCACCUCAUGUGA
rnacentral:lncRNA from 1 species